rnacentral:misc_RNA from 1 species
GGAUCGGGCACAAACUUGGACAGUUCAAGGUUUCGGUUCUUGAUCGCGGACCAUCUCGAUGUUAACGCCCAGGACGUGCAGGCCUACAUUGUUGGUGAACACGGUGAUAGUUCAGUGGCGUUAUGGUCCAGCAUAAGUGUUGGGGGAGUGCCAAUACUGACCUUCUUAGAUAAGCAGCAAAUUGCCUACGAGAAGGAGACUCUGGAGAACAUUCACAAAGCAGUUGUGGACAGUGCAUACGAAGUUAUUAGUCUCAAGGGCUACACUUCUUGGGCAAUUG